UUUAUGCAGCAAAUGAUGUGGAAGCCAAAAGUGUUUCUAUUUAAAGCAGGACCCUUUCACAAGAAAACUGCCCCUGGCCGCCUCUAAUUAUUCACACCAUCUCUCUUUCUUUCUCUCAAUAAAAGGAGCUUGAGUACUUCAGAUCAGUUUUUGUGGCCGAGGAGAUGAAGCUAGGAGGUUCAGAGAUGGAGGGGUGUUAAAUAUUUGUAACGAAGGUAUUGGCGUGGCUCAAUUUGAAGACAUGGUUGAAAGAGAAAUUAGCCAUGUGAUUUGAUUGAGCCGCGUCAAUAUCUCCUUUUGCACCCUUCUCCAUCCCUCUUCACCAACAAAUCAAGCACUUGAUAAAAGAAUUAAAGAAACAGAACAGGAAUAUUACUGAGGAAUCGUCCGUUGUACGUCUUCCUUCCAUAACUGCGACGAGAGUGGGACCCUACUGCCCUUUGCUUUCAGUUGGAUUGCAUUAAUUGUAUUAUUCCAUCACCUCUGUCCGGUAGCAGCCUUGUGAUGUUUCUUUUCAACCAUUCCCUUGAAGAACACGGUAAAAUAAACAGAGACAAGUAGGGCUUUCCAGGCCGUAAACGUCGAGUUUUAACCUAUUAUUGACAAGUGUUGUAUAUGAGAGAAACAGAGAAGGUGGCCCCAGGUUAAAUAAGGCUACACGUUCUGUUUCUUCACAUUCUUAGUACUUUAAAGUUGUUUCUUCUUCUUCUCCGUAAAAGUUCAAUCUAGUUGUCCUAUCACGUAUAAUUACUUUUCGUUUUACAUGCA